rnacentral:rRNA from 1 species
UGAGGAAUAUUGGUCAAUGGGCGAGAGCCUGAACCAGCCAAGUAGCGUGCAGGAUGACGGCCCUAUGGGUUGUAAACUGCUUUUAUGUGGGGAUAAAGUGCGUGACGUGUCAUGCAUUGCAGGUACCACAUGAAUAAGGACCGGCUAAUUCCGUGCCAGCAGCCGCGGUAAUACGGAAGGUCCGGGCGUUAUCCGGAUUUAUUGGGUUUAAAGGGAGCGUAGGCUGUCUAUUAAGCGUGUUGUGAAAUUUACCGGCUCAACCGGUGGCUUGCAGCGCGAACUGGUCGACUUGAGUAUGCAGGAAGUAGGCGGAAUUCAUGGUGUAGCGGUAAAAUGCUUAGAUAUCAUGACGAACUCCGAUUGCGCAGGCAGCUUACUGUAGCAUAACUGACGCUGAUGCUCGAAAGUGCGGGUAUCAAACAGG